AAGGAGCAUCUUCAGAGAGAGAAGCUGGUGUGGAAGGAGCGUCUUCAGAGAGAGAAGCUGGUGUGGAAGGAGCGUCUUCCACUUUGGAAGAUGAAGAAUUUUCCAAAUAGAUAUUCAAUGAUGUCUCUGUCAAUUCGGACUCUGACAGUGAGUUGGAAGAAGAGGAUGAUAUUGACCCUCAGCCAGCCCCAGGACCAGCCUAUCAGCAACCUAGUGCUCAGCAUCUUGCACGAGGAGAAAUAUGGAUGUCAAAGCAUUUUGAAAUUGUCCCAGGAAUAAGCCACCCAACAUGGCUGCCAAUAUGAAGGAUGCAACCAGGGAAUGAGCCACCCAACAUGGCUGCUAAUAUGAAGGAUGCAACCAGGGAAUGAGCCACCCAACAUGGCUGCCAAUGUGAAGGAUGCAACCAGGGAAUGAGCCACCCAACAUGGCUGCCAAUGUGAAGGAUGCAACCAGGGAAUGAGCCACCCAACAUGGCUGCCAAUGUGAAGGAUGCAACCAGGGAAUGAGCCACCCAACAUGGCUGCCAAUGUGAAGGAUGCAACCAGGGAAUGAGCCACCCAACAUGGCUGCCAAUGUGAAGGAUGCAACCAGGGCCGAUGCGGAUGGCGGUUACUCAUGUUACUCAUGUGCAGAACAUAAAGUCUUUUUUUUUAACUGUUCAUCCCAGACACCAUCCAGAAAAUCAUUCUGGACUGCACUAACUUGGAGGGAAGGUGUGUUUUUGGAGAGAGGUGGAAGGAGAUGGACCAAACUCAUUUACACACGUACUUUGGGGAAUCUACAGAAUUGCUGUGGGAUGCAGAAACUGGCUGAGAACUUUUCUGUACAACAAUGUCUCUGGAAAACAUCCACAUUAUUUCCAGGAUUAUCCGCUUCGAUAACCGAGAGACAAGACCAGCUUGGCGGCAGAGAGAUAAGCUAGCUGCAAUCAGAAAUCCAAACCCAUCAGUAGGCAACAUAUCCCAAGGACCCCAGCUUCUGCAGCCACCGCGAGGAGGAUUCAGGAAGAGGAUGCUGGUGUCCCAAUCCGCACGACUCACAGAACCAACAACUCCAAUAUCGGAACCGGUAGCAACAACUGGCUCCCCUGUGGCACAGUGGUAUAAGGCACUGCAUCUCAGUGCCAUCUCACAACCAGCUGUGAUCGGGUGUUCCAUAGGGUGGUGCACAGUUGUCCGGGUUAGGGGAGGGUUUGGCC